rnacentral:lncRNA from 1 species
UCUUUAUGUGUGACCCCAUAGGUUUAAUUCUAUUUGGUAGUAAGACAUACCAUAAUCUCUAUCAUAGGUAUCACUGAAACCCCUUUCAGUGGGUCAGAAAAUUCCACUCUAACUUGACAAAGAUUAUUGAUCCAAAAUAAUCCUAUUAAGCUCUCACAAUCCACCAGUGACAUCUAACAAUAUAUAGUAGCAACCUAGCAAAACCAAAAUAGAACAUCUAAGUAUAGUUCAUGUGCGAUACAGUCCCUCUAUCGUGAGUCCUGACU